rnacentral:lncRNA from 1 species
AGUUUACUGCAAACCUGACCACUAACUUUUCUUGGUGCACUUUAUAGGGAUACAUCUGCAUUCACUUGAACAGAGUGGAUUUCAUUGUAGGACAGAUUCAGGAAUCACGCCCAAGACAAGAAAUGCACUACACAGUGGCGUGGCAUCAAAGAUCAGAUCAGCUGAAAUCUUCUGCGGAAUGAAGUCUUCUCUCACGUUUGGAUCAUGUAUAUGUUUAGUGACCCCGCAGCUGCUGUAAGGGCCCAACUGAACUUGGGACAGACAUUCAAAGGUAUCUAACACCUCCUGACAUCAGUGGCUGGGCUAUCCAGUGUUCACUGUUG